rnacentral:rRNA from 1 species
GACGAACGCUGGCGGCGUGCUUAACACAUGCAAGUCGAACGGAAAGGCCCUGCUUUUGUGGGGUGCUCGAGUGGCGAACGGGUGAGUAACACGUGAGUAACCUGCCCUUGACUUUGGGAUAACUUCAGGAAACUGGGGCUAAUACCGGAUAGGAGCUCCUGCUGCAUGGUGGGGGUUGGAAAGUUUCGGCGGUUGGGGAUGGACUCGCGGCUUAUCAGCUUGUUGGUGGGGUAGUGGCUUACCAAGGCUUUGACGGGUAGCCGGCCUGAGAGGGUGACCGGCCACAUUGGGACUGAGAUACGGCCCAGACUCCUACGGGAGGCAGCAGUGGGGAAUAUUGCACAAUGGGCGGAAGCCUGAUGCAGCAACGCCGCGUGCGGGAUGACGGCCUUCGGGUUGUAAACCGCAUUAGCCUGUGACGAAGCGGGAGUGACGGUAAUGGGUAAAGAAGCACCGGCUAACUACGUG